rnacentral:lncRNA from 1 species
AUUCUAAUGGCUUAGACAUCCUCAGGUUCUCCUGAUUAAAUGCAGGCCUUAGGAUGGCAGCUUCCAAGUCCAGGCUUCAGUGUAGAGCCAGGAAGAGGAUCCUGGGGCUCAUGGACCAACAGAGAGAGGGGGCAAGAAUUUGGCCUUGAGGUCAGCUCUCACACAGCCCUCUAGGCCUCAGGGACGGAGCCAUCUUUGAGGGUCUAUUAUUCCCUCUGUUUGGGCUGUUAAGCAGAUGCCCAGGGUAACAUUUGGGGUGGCCAGCCCAGCCCCCAGUACUGCCAGCAGAACAAUCAUGCACUGUCCCUGCCUGCUAUGCGCCAGGCACCCCCAGGAACUCCAUUCACCCCCAGGAAACCGCAGGCACUCCCAGAAACCCCCAUGCACCCUCAGGAAUCCCCAGGCACUUCCAGGAACCCCCAGGCACCUUUCCUCAGACACUUUCUGUUAUGACUUUUCUAGAGCUUCUGUAAUAGACAGAAAUGUAUCCUCUCACAGUUCUGGAGGCCAGAAGUCCAAACCAUUCAAGCUGUCAGCCUGGCCAUGCACUCUCUGCAGCCUCAGGAGGGGGGUGCUUCCUGGCCUCUCCCAGCUCCUGACAAUCCAGGCAGUCCAACCCCGGCUGGCGGCCACAUCACUCCCCUCUCCACUUGCGUCUUCACAUGGCAUGCUCCCUGCCACCCUGUGCCUUCCCAAGGCUGUCUCCUUGUAAAGAUGCCAGUGAGCAUGGACUGGGGGACUAAAUGUGACCACAACAGGCCCCAGGGAUGAGACCGGCAUGGACAUUGGUCUCUCCUGCCUUUGACUGGGCUUGACACCUCUUCCCUUUUCUUCCCCCAGAUGGAGGCACUGCAAACGGAGCUGAGCUGCCUGGGAUGAGAGGAUGGCCUGGCUCUGGCCAGGAGCUCCCUAAGGCAAACACGUAUGUCCCUGGGCCCUGGGUGUCCUCCUCAGAAAAGAAGAAGCCACCUCUAGGGAUGGCAGUCCAAAGUGGCUCUCACCAAAAUUAUUUGGGUAGUGUGGUCUCUGGGCUGGCGAUAUCAGCAUGACUGGGAAUUUGUUAGAAAAGCAACUUCUCUGGAAAUAGAGCCCAGAAAUCUCUGGUUGCCAAGUUCUGCAGCUUACGGCAUUCUUGCAGCAUGACAAAGUGUGAGAUACAC